UACGUAGGGUGCGAGCGUUGUCCGGAAUUAUUGGGCGUAAAGAGCUUGUAGGCGGUUUGUCGCGUCUGCUGUGAAAAUCCGGGGCUUAACCCCGGACCUGCAGUGGGUACGGGCAGACUAGAGUGUUGUAGGGGAGACUGGAAUUCCUGGUGUAGCGGUGAAAUGCGCAGAUAUCAGGAGGAACACCGGUGGCGAAGGCGGCUUGCUGGGCCUUACCUGACGCUGAGGAGCGAAAGCGUGGGGAGCGAACAGG
rnacentral:rRNA from 1 species